rnacentral:rRNA from 1 species
CGGCAGCAGGUCCUUCGGGAUGCUGGCGAGCGGCGGACGGGUGAGUAACACGUGGGAAUCUGCCCAUCGGUGGGGGAUAGCCCGAGGAAACUCGGAUUAAUACCGCAUACGCCCUACGGGGCAAAGUGGACCUCUGAUUUAAGUUCAUGCCGAUGGAUGAGCCCGCGGCCGAUUAGCUAGUUGGUGGGGUAAUGGCCUACCAAGGCAACGAUCGGUAGCUGGUCUGAGAGGACGAUCAGUCACACCGGAACUGAGACACGGUCCGGACUCCUACGGGAGGCAGCAGUGGGGAAUAUUGGACAAUGGGCGAAAGCCUGAUCCAGCAAUGCCGCGUGGGUGAAGAAGGCUUGAGGGUUGUAAAGCCCUUUCAGCAGGGAGGAAAAGCGUACGGUUAAUACCCGUGCGUAUUGACGUUACCUGCAGAAGAAGCACCGGCUAACUCCGUGCCAGCAGCCGCGGUAAUACGGAGGGUGCAAGCGUUAAUCGGAAUUACUGGGCGUAAAGCGCGCGUAGGCGGUCGGAUAAGUCGGAUGUGAAAGCCCUGGGCUCAACCUAGGAACUGCAUUCGAUACUGUCGGGCUAGAGUUUGGUAGAGGGUGGUGGAAUUCCAGGUGUAGCGGUGAAAUGCGUAGAUAUCUGGAGGAACAUCAGUGGCGAAGGCGACCACCUGGACCAAAACUGACGCUGAGGUGCGAAAGCGUGGGGGGCAAACAGGAUUAGAUACCCUGGUAGUCCACGCCGUAAACGAUGAGAACUAGCCGUCGGGCUCUUUAUGAGCUUGGUGGC